UACAGAGGUCUCAACCGUUGUUCGGAUUCAUUGGGCGUAAAGGGUGCGUAGGCGGUCGGGUAAGUCGGAUGUGAAAUCUCAGGGCUCAACCCUGAAACUGCAUUCGAUACUGCUUGGCUAGGGUACUGGAGAGGAGACUGGAAUUUACGGUGUAGCAGUGAAAUGCGUAGAUAUCGUAAGGAAGACCAGUGGCGAAGGCGAGUCUCUGGACAGUUACCGACGCUGAGGCACGAAGGUCAGGGGAGCAAACGGGG
rnacentral:rRNA from 1 species